CUAAGGGUUCCCGGUGGAGGGAGACUGACUGGAAGCUGCAGUUUGAAAAGCCCCGAAACUUUGGAAGGGGCCCUGAAAUUUGUAUCAUGCCCGCAAAAUCUGGUCCGGCCUUCCCCGAAAUUCAAAGAGCACGUACAAAUUUCAGAAAGGUUUUUGACCCCUCCCCGAACAAAGCGAUCACGAACUAUAAGUAGCACUACGGUAUAUUGUAUUAAUGGUGUGCGCCGUACUGUAUGACAGCUACAGGUUCUCAUCUCUCGUUUGACCCACGCACGGCUGGAUUAUUAGGGGUCAAAGACUUUGCCAAGGAUUAUAAUUAGAAAGGUCCCCAUACUAAUUGCCACCACGAAUCCAUGCAUCUAGACACGUACUUUUCACGUAUAGGCACGACCCCAGAGCUGCUGUCUGGGGCGUGGCGCUCCUCUUGACCCAGCCGGCGGUGUUGAAGGCUUUGCAGCUGGGAUUACUGUUGCAGGUGGCCAGUGCAUUGGCCCCAAAGUUUCCGAUGUCGUCACCGUAGCGAUCCACGUCUGGCUUGGAGGUGUAUCCAGGAUACUGCUGGCACACAGUCACUGGAUGCAGAAAGAAGAAGGGAUUGGAUCAUGCACGUCACAUGCAUCCAUGCAUCCAUGCAGACAUACAUAAGCACUUCAGCGCGUCGCUGAAACGAUUUGCACGCAGACAUACCGAAAGGGCUUCAGACACAAUGAAUGUGUCAAAAGUGCAACCAUAAUAUUCCUGGAAGAUGUCAGGAUUGAUCGCGACAAUGAACGGGUCAAGAUUCCUCAACCGUAUGAGAGCGGAAGCAUCCUCAUGCCGAUAGACGGUGAUAGUAGACCCAGUCAUAAUGACACACCUGAAAGCUAGCCAAGACUGGAGUUUACGCCGCCCUCAACCCGGCAGAUUCCACUAGUGAUGGGUGCUGAACCCGGAAAUGCCACUGACUUCACAGAAGUCGGCAUGUGUGGGGAGGAUGAGGGUGGCCCCAAACAUCGGGGAAGGUAGCUAGGGACUGCCAGGCUAGUGGCCAAGGGUGAUGCUGGACCCCCCUACUUGUCAUCACACAAACAUACCGAUCGUCACCAUUCCCCUGCAUGAACGUACCCUUCUUCACGUACAGACACGACCCUGGAGCAGCUGUCUGGGGCGUGGCGCUCCUCUUGACCCAGCCGGCGGUGUUGAAGGCCUUGCAGCUGGGAUCACCGCUGCACUGGGCCAGCGCAUUGGCCCCGAAGUUUCCGAUAUCGUCACCGUACCGAUCCACGUUCGGGAUUGAGGUGUAUCCAGCAUACUGUUCGCACACUGCAGAGCAGGGUAACAGAGGUCAUAGGCAGCAGGUAGCUUGAUUGCAUUCAUGGUAUGGUGUAACAUCCCGGGCAUAUAUCUGUCCCCAUUGUUGUGGAUUUCAACAUCAGCGUGUGCACGAGUAGUCCUUUUCUGAUAAGACAGGAUUGAAGAUACGAUGUGUUGACAGAGGGGUAUGGCUGCAUUUGUGGUGUGUUUUCUGAGUGAAACGAAAUGAAACCAAGGUUUAAUGUGUGUUUACCGAGAGCGAACUCGGUCGAAUGGCGUUGGUGUGUACGGCAUGGCCGUACGGGGCUAGUAUGAGUUGCAGGAGUGCGACGGAAAGGGUUAUUUUCGCAAGUUCAUGUUGUCAGGUUUCCGUUGCGGCUUCUGCCUAACCUACAGCUAGUAUCCGGAAGCAGAGUCGCAAUCGGUAACCAGGCUCACCUACUCUUUAUGGAAGCAAGCACACGCUGUCCUGCUUGUUCGUACGAUCUCUAAGCGAUAAGGCAACUAACUACUCACGAAAGCGAGCCCUCGUAAUGCCUAGUGUACUUAUAGGGACGAUAUACACCCAGGGCGCGAGCUAUAGACGAGCAAUAAUUUUACAGGCCAGGCUUCGAGGAACAAACAGUGUCUGACUGCAGUAGCUGUGGUAUAGUACGGCGGCGCACAAAACAGCAAUAAACAAGUGCUAAGUCUGUGAAAUACUUGAGCGUCUACAAAUUGCGGCCUGGUAUAUUAGAUUGGGACCGUCUAUUCUGUUAUACCAGGGUGCCAUCUAUAGACAAUCAUAACAUUCACAGACGUUACGCGAUCCGCAAGCAUCUUGAGAGGCUGGUUGCACUCUCAGCAACCAGCCAGCUACUGCAAUAAAGGCGUCAUCACAUUUACUUUGCUAUCAAUCUCCUUAUGCGGCUUAUGCGGCUUAUGCGGCUAGUGAGCGAUCGAGGUUAACCUUAAGGUUUGAAGGCACGCAAAUGUGUUGAUUGGCUGAGUCCUUCGAGAUAGCUUACUACCCAGGCAAGGUAAGUAGCCUGCUCAUUACAUUUGCGUGAACCAGUUCAGUACCGCACUCAAUUGUCGUAGUUUAUACAGAUGCAUGCAUGCAUAUUGCUAGCUGACCAGGAACUAAGUUGAUGCGCCGUUGAUCCGCUAGAUUUGGUUGGAUGCUGGUGGUGAGUUGCUGAACCCAACGAAUACAUUCUGAAGUCGGAUGGGGUGAACGGUUUAGGGUGCCCCUCUAGCAGGGGAGAGCAGGAAACUGCCUCGGGAAAGGGGGCCGCUGGUGAAGCUUUACCACCCUGUAACAACAUACAUAUUCGUACUUAUCACGUACCUUUCACGUAUAGGCACGACCCCAGAGCUGCUGUCUGGGGCGUGGCGCUCCUCUUGACCCAGCCGGCGGUGUUAAAGGCUUUGCAGCUGGGAUUACUGUUGCAGGUGGCCAGCGCAUUGGCCCCAAAGUUUCCGAUGUCGUCACCGUAGCGAUCCACGUCUGGCUUGGAGAUGUAUCCAUAAUACUGCUGGCACACAGUCGCUGGAUGCAGAAAGAAGAAGGGAUUGGAUCAUGCAGGUCACACCCACACAUACAUGAAAAUGUACAUAUGCGCACUUCAGCGUGUCGCUGGUUUGCACACAAACAUACCGAUCGUCACCAUUCCCCUGCAUGAACGUACCCUUCUUCACGUACAGACACGACCCUGGAGCAGCUGUCUGGGGCGUGGCGCUCCUCUUGACCCAGCCGGCGGUGUUGAAGGCCUUGCAGCUGGGAUCACCGCUGCACUGGGCCAGCGCAUUGGCCCCGAAGUUUCCGAUAUCGUCACCGUACCGAUCCACGUUCGGGAUUGAGGUGUAUCCAGCAUACUGUUCGCACACUGCAGAGCAGGGUAACAGAGGUCAUAGGCAGCAGGUAGCUUGAUUGCAUUCAUGGUAUGGUGUAACAUCCCGGGCAUAUAUCUGUCCCCAUUGUUGUGGAUCUCAACAUCAGCGUGUGCACAAGUAGUCUUUUUCUGGUAAGGCAGGAUUGAAGAUACGAUGUGCUUACAGAGGGGUAUGGCUGCAUUUGUGGUGUGUUUUCUGAGUGAAACGAAAUUAAACCAAGGUUUAAUGUGUGUUUACCGAGAGCGAACUCGGUCGAAUGGCCGUACUGGGCUAGUUAUGUCGCAGAAGUGUGACGGAAGGUGUUAUUUUCGCAAGUUCAUGUUGUCAGGUUUUCGUUGCGGCUUCUGCCUAACCUACAGCUAGUAUCCGGAAGCAGAGUCGCAAACAUGCCGUCCUGCUUCUCCUUACGAUCCCUAAGCGGUAAGGCAACUAACGAAAGCGAGCCCUCGUAAUGCCUAGUGUACUUAUAGGGACGUUAUACACCCAGGGCGCGAGCAAUAGACGAGCAAUAAUUUACAGACGAGGCUUCGAGGAACGAACAGUGUCUGACUGCAGUAGCUGUGGUAUAGUACGGCGGCGCACACAACAGCAAUAAACAAGCGAACUACUAGUAAAGCGAUCCGCAAGCAUCUUGAGAGGCUGGUUGCACUCUCAGCAACCAGCCAGCUACUGCAAUAAAGGCUCAUCACAUUUACUUUGCUAUCAAUCUCCUUUUGCGUCUUAUGCGGCUUAUGCGGCUAGUGAGCGAUCGAGGUUAACCUUAAGGUUUGAAUGCAUGCAAAUGUGUUGAUUGGCUGAGUCCUUCGAGAUAGCUUACUACCCAGGCAAGGUAAGUAGCCUGCUCAUUACAUUUGCGUGAACCAGUAAGUACCGCACUCAAUUGUCGUGGUAUAUACAGAUGCAUGCAUGCAUAUUCGUACUUAUCACGUACCUUUCACGUACAGACACGACCCUGGAGCAGCUGUCUGGGGCGUGGCGCUCCUCUUGACCCAGCCGGCGGUGUUGAAGGCUUUGCAGCUGGGAUUACUGUUGCAGGUGGCCAGUGCAUUGGCCCCAAAGUUUCCGAUGUCAUCACCGUAGCGAUCGACGUCUGGCUUGGAGAUGUAUCCAGGAUACUGCUGGCACACUGCAGGGUAGGGUAACAGAUCGGGGGUCCGGGAAUAGGGCAGUGGGGCGGGAGGCGGAUGACAAAGGAGACAAGGGGACUGGGAUAGGACGAAGAUGGGCGGGCAACUGGGCUGGGAAGGGUUUGAGGGGGAUUGGGGUUUGUGUACGACAGAAUCAAUUCCGCCAGGAAAUCACGUAUACACGGCCUUACUGUAAGUUGAAAACAGC
rnacentral:lncRNA from 1 species